ensembl:lncRNA LINC02660 long intergenic non-protein coding RNA 2660
CUUUGAGCAAGAGGACAAACCUGGGUAGGGAUCUCUAUGAUGUUUUCUGCGUUGCCCGUGGACGUUCAUCUUUCUGAUUUGUUAGCUGAAGAUGAGGAUCUGGAGCAGGAGCUCGGAGUGCCAUUGUUCCAUGGGCAGAUGUGCAGCAGAGAUUAGCAUUAGGAAGACAAGCAGGGCCUUCAGUAGGCAUAAGGUGAUGAGGUUCAUGCCGUUGGAUCCCACGGGUGCCCUGGGGAAGAGAUGGUUGGGAAGUCUGAGAGGAAGCAGGAGAGCUUUCGGAGCACAUGGAUGCCGUCCAGAAUGGAGAUGGUUGUGGCUCGGAAGAAAAAGAAAUCACCCAGCUCGGAGUCAGGAUACAUUUGGAGGUCCAGGCCGCCGAGUUUGCUGGUGGGGAAGAUAGGCACCAGAAAGGAAAGAGGACAUCCAGGGCAAUUUCUUCUGCCCCCCAGCCAAUCCGUACAUUGUCCAGAGGGUCUUGCUCUGUCAUCCAGGCUGGCGCGAUCUCGGCUCACUUUGACCUCUGCCUCCUGGGUUCAAGCGAUUCUCCUGUCACAGCCUCCUGAGCAGCUGGGAUUACAGGCAGGCACCACCAUGCUGAGCUAAUUUUUGUAUUUUUAGUAGAGACCAGGUUUCGCCAUGUUGCCCAGGCUACUCUCGAACUCCUGGCCUCAUGUGAUCCGCCCACCUCAGCCUCCCAAAGUGCUGGGAUUACAGGCGUGAGCCACUGCAACCAGCUGGAACAAUCUUGAUAUUAGGGUGAACAAGUGAUUUCAUAGCUUUCUCUGAAGGAGGAAACACUGGGAGCAUCCACCCGAGAAUCAACACUGUGGAUCAUUCUGGGGAGUUAAUAGUUUUGAGAUGUGUCCCAAGAUAAUUGUUAGCUUGAAUUACCACGUGGAUGGAACCAUGCUGAUCCUAAGAGCCAGGUAAUGGCCAAAGGUGCCAUUCAGGUGAAAUCCCCAGGUGGAAAAUUCUUCCACUUCCAAUGAUAGAAUUCUAUUACUCUGCCUAUAGUUUGGUGAAACAAGACUUUACAAAUAGAGGACAAGAUCCAUUUUGCCAAGAACAACCAUAUGGAUUUAACUGCUGCUAACAACCGUUAGGAAGGAACAUCAAUAAAAAGCAAGCCUGUGAGACAACUCCUUCCCCAAGGGGCGCUUGUUACAGAGCGCGGGCCCCAGCAGGCCUGGUCCAUCCUCCACAUUCUUUCCUCUCUGACUUAUUUUUACUUUCUGUUUGAAUUGGCUUGGUUUUAUUUUGCCCUAAACUGUGUCUGUAGUCAUCCCCCGACAGAGUUUUGAGAGUGAAAGUCCGAUCUGCCCACGCUUCACAGAACUCAAUGCGGAGCCUUCUCAGGAGUCACUUGACGUCAAGGCUGACUUUUAAAUUUGCCAAAAAGGCAUUCUUUGGGGAGCGGUCGGCACCAUCACUUUCCCUCUUUAGAGAGCUGCUACUGGCUGCUGGAAUUCAAAACCCACAAAUUGCAUUUCUAAACUUAAUUCGAUACAUAGAUGAGCGGAAAGAUCAGACAUUGAUGCUAUUGUUUUCAACCAAGAUGUUUUACUAUAUCAUUUAUAUUUUGUUUUUUUCUUCCCCCAGUUUUUAAACUUUUUGUUUGUUUGUUUUACAGGCCAAGCCUACUGCUGUUAGAAAACAUAUUUAGAAAUCACUUGGUUCUUCCUUGCCUGAACAUCAUCUAUUUAGUUAGCUUGUGUUGUUUAGAUGUGCUUCAGAUCUCAAAAAAAUAAAUUAUGUUAUUUGAAA